AGACGUCUACAUUAGAUACCCCUGUAGUCCCAGCCGUAAACUAUGCGCGUUAGGUGUAUCGGUGACCACGAGUCACCGAGGUGCCGAAGGGAAACCGUGAAACGUGCCGCCUGGGAAGUACGGUCGCAAGGCUGAAACUUAAAGGAAUUGGCGGGGGAGCACCGACAACGGGUGGAGCCUGCGGUUUAAUUGGACUCAACGCCGGGAAGCUCACCGGAUAAGACAGCGGAAUGAUUGCCGGGCUGAAGACUCUGCAUGACUUAGCUG
rnacentral:rRNA from 1 species